rnacentral:rRNA from 1 species
UACGGAGGGUGCGAGCGUUGUUCGGAAUCACUGGGCGUAAAGCGCGUGUAGGCGGCCUUCUAAGUCCGAUGUGAAAGCCCGGGGCUCACCCCCGGAAGUGCAUUGGAUACUGGGAGGCUGGAGUACCGGAGAGGAGGGUGGAAUUCCUGGUGUAGCGGUGAAAUGCGUAGAUAUCGGGAAGAACACCCGUGGCGAAGGCGGCUCUCUGGAACGCAACUGACGCUGAGACGCGAAAGCGUGGGGAGCAAACAGG